UAUAUAUAUGUGUGUGUGUGUGUGUAUGUAUACACACACACACACACACACAUAUAUAUAUA
rnacentral:miRNA from 1 species